AUGGCCACCUGCCUCUCUGAUCUCAUUAGUGACAAUACCCUAGAUUUCCUGGGUCUGCAAGAGACCAUGAAAAAAGAUUUCUCCCCCAAAUGCUUGAGGAGAAUUAAUCCCUCUAAUUUGUUCAGUUGGAACUGGGUUCCUUCUGAAGGCAAAUCUGGAGGUAUCCUGUGUGGAGUUAGACAAGACACUCUGGAGGUUGUCUCUUGCUACAAGAGAAAGUAUAUCUUGCAGUUAGUGGUCCUGGAUAAGAAGAAGAAGACCAAUUGGGGGCUCUUGGUGGUGUAUGGCUCUGCUCAUGAAGAGUAUAAGGAGGAGUUCCUGCUUGAACUUGCUACUAUAUGUAAUAACAUGCAAGUUCCUUAUAUAGUGGGUGGGGAUUUUAAUAUCCUUAGGCACCCUAGAGAGAAAAACAAGAAAAUGACUAGCCAUAAAUCCACUGACCUGUUUAACUCCAUUAUCAACACCUUGGCUCUUAGAGAGAUCCAUAGCAGUGGGGGAAAAUACACUUGGUCGAAUAACCAAGCUCACCCUACAUUGGAGAAGUUAGAUCGCAUCCUGAUGUCUGAGGAGUGGGAAGACUUAUUUCCCCUUGUUUCUUUCCGGAAGUUGGUCCGAGAGAUUUUUGAUCAUAACCCUCUACUGAUUAACUCUGGGGAAGAGGGACGUGAGGCCCCCAAGACUCACGAAUUCCGUUUUGAGCUUUCUUGGAUUAAGGAUGAACGUUUCUUGCCUUUGGUCAGUAAAAUCUGGGCCAGA
rnacentral:rRNA from 1 species